GGGACCAGCUUCAGCUAAGAGUGAUAAGGGCAGGUCCUUGAGGACAGAGAAGCUCUCAGAGAGUAGAAUUAUAGAAUACCCUGAGCUGGAAGGGACCCACAAUGAUCUUCAAAGUCUAACUCUCCUACCAAGGAAGUGAUGGUAUCUCACCAUCACUUCUCUUCUCACUGGGUUGGAGACAACCAUCUUUAAGCCAAGCCCAAGGCAGUCAAAUGAGGACUGUGAAAUGCCUGCUGGGAUCCCCUCUGCCAAGACCACCUCAGUGGCACGCUGCUUGCACAAAGCGGAGGUCACCUCUGCCGGGGGACCCAUUGUCUCCACAGGGCAGGGAAAGGACAAAUGUUUUGCUGAUGCUCUGGGUUACAAGCCCAGCCUGCACCCCGAUGUGCCCCAGCUGCUCAUGCAGGCCCUGCGGGCCCCCAGCUCCUCUGGGAUGUGUGAUACCUGCAGGGCUGGAUGACAAGAAACACUCGCCCCCAGAGCUGCUUGGGAAAGACACCCCGCAGGCAUGGGGUGUUCCAGGAUGAAAGCAGACAGUGAGUCAGCUCAGAAAGUGGAAUCUGGACGAGCAUCUUCAGGGGUGAUUCCAGGAUGCAUCACGGCAGUGGGAGAGGUUCACCAUCUGCCUGUGCUCAUGGAGAAGUCCUUGGUCAGCCUCUGUGGGUAGGUGUCCACCUGGACAGAGGAACAAGUGCUGGUGCUCCAGGGAGAUGCCUCUGCCUGCAGCACAGUACCCUCAAAGCCACAUCAGCUCCCACCGCAGCUUCAGCACCCUCCUCGAACCUUACCCUCCAGCCACAGAUCCUGCACAGCCCUGGGCCAAACCCCCUCUCUGCUCCCACUGAGGGAGCUGAGGGGAGCUGAGGGAAACAACCUGUUCUCAGGGUACCCAUGGAAUGUAGCUGUACUCUCCAGCUCCCCUGCCAGUCUGCCCAGAAGGACAAAAUGGCAGCAGGUGUUUCAUCAUCCCUUUCUGGGACAGGAGGUCAACGAGACAAACAGGAUAAUAGCCAGCACCCCGUGCCUCACCCCAGUAAAACCUGAAAGCCUGAUGCAAGCACAUGGGGAACUUGCUCUGCUGGCAACUUCCACUGUGUCUUUCGUCAGCCAAAUGGUCUGUUCCAGGUUUGUGUCUUUCAACAACAAAGUCCUUCAGAGCGGGAAUCCUGGGAGGCCUGGACUGAGCCUUUCAUAAUGACCAGGUGUCUUCACGCAGUGACUUAGUUCCUCACUCCCUGCUCACCAUUUCCCACGAGUUCCAGAAAUCAUAGCCCAAACUGGAGCUACCUCAGCCUGACCUGGAUGAUGUAAGCCACACAAGGAAGCAGGUGAAGCAUGCCCCAGAGGACACAGCCACCUCCACUCCAGGCCACACAUCUCCGUCUGCUCCAGGGAAUAAAUUCCAAACUCACUCUGGUCCUUCCCUUUCUGUCCUGUCUGACCACUGUUGCAGCACUUCUCCAACACAAGGACCUGCCAAAAACCCCCUCUCACCCUUCCUAGUCCUCCCCCAGCAGCUCCCAGCAUUGCCCUGACCCUUUUCCCCUGCUUCUCCUCCUCUCCUCCCACCCACGAUGAAAGUGCACUGGUGUGCUCAGGCAAACCUUCUGCCUGCACCCAGAGACACAAGGCACUCAUAUGGGCAUUGGUACUUUCUGAGGGCAUCCUGGAGUGCCUCUGGUUCAAAUUUCCUAAUGAUAAAGUUCAGUAAAACUCUCAGGUGUCCAUUUUGCCCAUUGAAACACUGAGCAUCCUGGAUGUGCUUAACACAGUGGAAAGAAGUUACCCUAUGACAAAAAUCUCCUGGGAGAGCUGUGAUGGGCAGAAGUGGAGCUGGGUGCCAGCCCCAGGAGCUCUGCACUGCUGUCUCCAGCUGUGCCCAUGGCAGCCAGCAGUUGGGUGUGCUGCUACCACGCCAGAUAAUUAUAGCUCCACUGUUUAUAUACCUUCAGCCCGUGGCCACAGGAAGGAAGGCUGAAGGACACUCUAUGUAACAGAGCUCUCCACCCCUUCCCCGCUCCCCCUUCCACCUGCACCCCCCCUGCCCCGCCCCCCCCACACGUGUGAAUUUGGCAUGUGUGACAAGACACCAUGGCCCAGCAUUGUUUGUCAGAGCUGGUCACAGCCCGCAGCUUCCCCUUUCUGUCACCCUUGGAACUCUGCUCUGGGCUCUCCAGGCACUCAGUCCCCCCUCUGCACAAUUUGCAAUCUCCUCCUGCAUCCCUUAACCUGGCAGCUUCUUGAUCCCACAGCUUGACUGAGAACAGGCUUGUCCCUGUCCCCAUGCACAGCUGAACCAUGUGGGUCCUGAAGCCUGUGCUCCUCUCCAGAGCUGUGGGUGCACUGAAGCACUCAGUGAUGGUGAGUCAGUGCUCUCCUCUCCACACAGAUCAGCCGCGGCAUCUGUGUGUCAAUCCCUCCUCCCUGCUGCUUGCAAAUGGCAUCUCCAUAGCAAUCCCGUGCUGCUUGCUCAGCCCAAGCAGGACCAAGCAGAGUGCAACGGAGCUUCUGAGCCAUGGGGUUGUCCAUCUCUGCAGGGACAAGUGACCACCAGUCAUCACUGGAGUGAUAUCCCAAGAAGCUGCCCGGGAGGUACCAGUGGUGGCACUGGAAGGGGUUGAACAGCUGCAGUGACGAGUGGGGGAGCAGACCCCCUUACCCGGCCAUGGAGAAGGAAUGACCUGGCAAGGCUGGGCUGCAGGAUUAGGAUUAGGAUGGGCUGUGUCCCACACGAACGAGCCAGGCCAGCCAGCUGCGGCUGAACCAGCACUUUCGUGUUUGUUUGGGCUGUUAGAUAACUUCGAAAGCAGAAGCUGGAAGGGCUGGCGGCUGAACAGUUUGUUCUUUCCAACUUCCACGCGCUGCUGCCUCAAACCUCAGUGCCGUGCAGGACUUAAACCACAGCUCUGCUGUGCUGCUCAGAGCCGUCCUGUCCCCUCAUCUUCACCCCAAAGUGUGCCUGGAGCCCCUCCAGCCCAGGGCCAAGCUCUGCUUCUUCACGCUGACAGAGGAGGAAACAGAGCAGUGGGAACGCUUCUCUGAAGGGGUCUCAGCCCCACAGGCCGGGCCUGGCACAGGGUGAGGGGCUGCUGCCAUCUCCUGGCCACGGCCGGAACUCAGGGCAGACCACGGGCAGCGCAGCACGGCACGGCGCGGCAUAGUGCAGCUCAGCGCAGCUCAGCAGAGGUAGCUCCCGGCCGCACCCUGCUCCCAGCUCGGGCUGGGGAAGGAGCGAGGAUCACACACCGCCGCCACCCGGCGCAGCUCGUAUCAGCCUAACACGUAUCCACUGGGAACUGGGACAGUGAACAGGACAGGACAAGGCCACUGCAAGCCCUGUUCCAAGGACUGUAUCACAGGGCUGUGCCAAAGGGCAGCAAUGGGAAGUGGGUUCAGGUCACCUUUGAGCACCCGAGGCUCUCCAGGGACAGGCAGCCUCAUCUCCCCAGGUAAAAGGGACAGCUGGGGCCACAACACUGAAGUGUCACCUCCUUGGGGACCAGGAUGGUCCGAACAGCCCCUGAGCCCAAGAGGGUCCAGACCGUGGCACAGUGCUCUGCCUCACUUUCCUGGCCACCUGAAGUGAGGGCAUGAGGCACACAUUGCUCUGCUAUGAGCAGAAAGCGAGCGAUGCUGAGAAAUCCUGCGAGGGUGCCCUGCUCCUCUGCUCCUGGCAGUGGUAGCGCUGGGAAUAGAGACGCCAGGCUGGGCAAACAGAGUUCUCACAUUCCCUCAAGUUGCACAAAGUCCACUCCACAAGGGGCGGCACUUGAUCAAAGAGAAGGCCGUUUUGCCACAGCUGGUCCCAAUAUCCCUCACUGGGUUGCAUCACACCUCCCUUCCAGCCGCUGAAGGAUCCCAACCAGUGACACAGGGUCCCAGGUCCCAGCAGCAACUGGGAGAUUCCAAGAAACUACAGGGAGAAAUGAAAGGUUGGGCUGAGGCCAAAUUAGUAGCACAGGUUUUGCCUCAGUCCAAGGGAGUGUGGUGAGGGCCUGAUCCUCUGUCUGAGGACUGGGGAGACAAGCUCAUGGAGUCUGCUAAGACCCCUCUCCCAGUGCUGGAAUACUGGGGAUGAAAUCCUCCCAGGCCGAGACUGAACAACAGGAGCAGUGUGUGCUGUGGCCCAGUCAGGAGCUGGCACAAGUGAGGUGGGGAAGGAAGGCAGUGUCAUGGAUGCCCUGGAAGGAGAGGGAGGCAGCAAACCCAAGCAGUAGAAAGGACAGGCAAGAAUGGAACAGGAGCCAAUUGGAUGCAGAGAGGACGAUGCUGCAGACUUGUUAAGGCUGGGGCUCACUCAGCUGAGGACAUACACAGGACUGACCCAGGGCCCUGUUGGGCUCCAGAUGCUUUGGUCAUACUGUGUGCUAUGGCCAGAGACGGUGCAGGGGGCCAGGGGUGCUGCAGGGCAUCAUGCCUUGACUCAGGGCACAGUCCCUGUGCACAAGGCAGAGCAGGUGGAGACAGUGGCCCAGGCACAGGAAGGCGAGUGAGUGUUCAGGGGGCAGUGUCCAGAUGCCUCUCAGAGAGCUUGUGUUCUGGACAGAGGCAGCCCUGGGAGCCUGGCAAGCGCUCUUCCUCCCUUGGAUGCCCAACUUGUGACAACAUGGUCCUAUAAACUGCCCCAGGGCUGGCACAACUCAGAGCCAGCUUGGAACCACCAGGUCCCACAAGGCACCUUUCCUGCUGCUCACUUGCCUUCCCAUGGGCAGGGGCUGGGGAAAGCCCCAGGGCCAACAAAGACAGCCCUAUGGACUGUGCAGGCAAUGGAGGGAAUGGGGCGGGACACAUCCCUGACAGGUUUUAGGUAGGAGGGCAGGCUCUGACAGCCAGUGAGGUUCACCCUCACCUAGGACAGAGUCCUGGAAAAUGGUGUACCUGCCACACCAUGCCCAUUGGAGAACAGGCAGGGUGAGAAGCUGCACAAGAGCUGCAGGCUCAUGUGCUUUCCUGUAGGCUCAGGGCAGACUAGUUUUCAACCUGCCUGACACAAGGGAAGGUUCAAGCUUCAGCUCUAGGGACAAACUCGGGACUCCAGCUCUGCUCUGCAUCCCCAUAGCAUGCCCUCCAUCUACCCUCACACACUCUGGCCUGACACAAGCCACCUGAUUUUCUCUGCUCGCUCAUGACUGCCAUGCCCUCCUCGGGAGCCCCUGGCAGGAGCACAAGAGGAACAGGCCAGAUGCAUAUUCCAGCCCACAGAACUUAAAGCAAUGAGGUCAGACUACUAUGGAGCCCAGUUCUUCAGUCACAAGUCCUUCAGGGGUCUCAAGACCCCAUACACCCACCCACAAGACUCCUGCAAAGCAGUCAAGAUGCUCGGUGCUCUGGGCUUUCCUGGCUGCAGGAGGGCAGAGCCACCCAGACUGCUCCCUGUGGGCUCAGGAGCAGCUUCACAAAGGCAGGACUUUGCCGGUGUGGACAUCAUAAUACAGGUACCCCUAAGGUAUGUGGCUGCUCUGUGCUGAGGAGGACCAGAGCGCAGUGUGUUUGAUUUACCACUUUGCAAUCACGUUGCUCCACUGGAGGAGUGGAGCCAUGGCACAGAGUGAGAGGUAAGCUACCGCUGCUGCAGCUGGGCUCAUCAGAGCAACCUCUGCUGAUCCAGGCCUGCAAAUGUGUUUUUUAUGUCAAGCAGAAGAGACGCUCCUGACAUGGAGAGUACUUGGCUGGGCUGCUAUCCAUGAUGGGGAGGGCCCAGCAGAGCUGUUGACUGUCCUUAGCAAGCUGCUCCUGCCCCAGAGAGCUGGCCUUGCAUGCCACAGAAGGGACGGGAUGUGCUGGGCUUGUGCCGGAUCCACUUGACUAGACUCUGUAAAUGAUUUUUUAUAUAACUCUGUUUUCUGGUUGCUUUCAGCACCUUCCAAGUGAAAGCCACAGGCAUCUGUACUCUGCAUGCCUGGCUGUUAUGAAUGGGAUGAAGGGGUUGGUUCCUCCCACUCACUGUGAGAAGCUGCCCAUUCCUGCAGUGAAACCUGGUGAGGCAGCAGCAAUGCUCUCAGGUCAGACUCAGGGUAGCAGCAUAGUGAGCAGACUAUUCUUUCUACUGCCACACAAGAAGCCUACCAGCUAUCCCCUGCGAUGACCCAGGAAGGGGACACACAUAGGCUGGCUCCCCUCACUCUGGUUGCUUUUCCCAGGCUUUGCCAGCCACAUCCCUGCUCCCCAUAGCAGCUGCUGGAAGCCCAGCAGCACAAACCUGCAGUCAGCGGCACCAGCUAUACCCAGUAUAUCAGGAGAAACCCCAUCCUCUCCAGGGGAAUGACUCCUGGUGCCACAGGCAGCUGUCCACCACAGGCACUGGUUGAGAGCAUCCUGCUGGUGUAGGGAGGGGUCCCUGCAUCCCCACUGGGAGCUUGGAGGAGUGCAGACCUUGGAUGUGGCUCAGGAAUACAGUUCCUACACGCGCAGCCCACGCAGGCAGCACCACAUUGCUCGUGCCUGCAUGAAACCUGGGAAUGUGGCUGCCCAGGCUGGCUCCCUGCAAGUGGAUGUUAUUUUAACUCUCAGUUACUCUCUCAUUUUUGCCAGGCAACGACUGAUUCUGCUGUUGGCUAUGCAAUAAAGAGCCCCCUUUUAUUUUUCCUCCUCCA